rnacentral:tRNA from 2 species
UGGGAUAUCGCCAAGCGGUAAGGCACUGGAUUCUGACUCCAGCAUUCCGAAGGUUCGAAUCCUUCUAUCCCAGCCA